UACGUAGGGGGCAAGCGUUGUCCGGAAUCAUUGGGCGUAAAGCGCGUGUAGGCGGCCCGGUAAGUCCGCUGUAAAAGUCCAGGGCUCAACCCUGGAAAGCCGGUGGAUACUGUCGGGCUCGAGUCCGGAAGAGGCGAGUGGAAUUCCCGGUGUAGCGGUGAAAUGCGCAGAUAUCGGGAGGAACACCAAUUGCGAAGGCAGCUCGCUGGGACGUCACUGACGCUGAGACGCGAAAGCGUGGGGAGCAAACAGG
rnacentral:rRNA from 1 species